GUUGAAGGUUGGGUAACACUAACUGGAGGACCGAACCGACUAAUGUUGAAAAAUUAGCGGAUGACCUGUGGCUGGGGGUGAAAGGCCAAUCAAACCGGGAGAUAGCUGGUUCUCCCCGAAAGCUAUUUAGGUAGCGCCUCGUGAAUUCAUCUCCGGGGGUAGAGCACUGUUUCGGCUAGGGGGCCAUCCCGGCUUACCAACCCGAUGCAAACUGCGAAUACCGGAGAAUGUUAUCACGGGAGACACACGGCGGGUGCUAACGUCCGUCGUGAAGAGGGAAACAACCCAGACCGCCAGCUAAGGUCCCAAAGUCAUGGUUAAGUGGGAAACGAUGUGGGAAGGCCCAGACAGCCAGGAUGUUGGCUUAGAAGCAGCCAUCAUUUAAAGAAAGCGUAAUAGCUCACUGGUCGAGUCGGCCUGCGCGGAAGAUGUAACGGGGCUAAACCAUGCACCGAAGCUGCGGCAGCGAACGUAUCACCCAAGACAACUUUACGGAGUUGACGAUUGACGGAGCGAAGCGACGUCAAAGCGUUCAUUAAAGUCGAGUUGGCUUAGGGAUACGUUCGUUGGGUAGGGGAGCGUUCUGUAAGCCUGUGAAGGUGUGUCGUGAGGCAUGCUGGAGGUAUCAGAAGUGCGAAUGCUGACAUAAGUAACGAUAAAGCGGGUGAAAAG
rnacentral:rRNA from 1 species